GGGAACGGAGGUAUUGGCGAAUCUUUCAACCUGUGAUCCUACCAUGUGCUAAGAAGGAAACAAGUGUGGAGGGGUCAAGUGACCUGACCCCUGGUCGUCUAGCAGGUCAGAGCCCGAACUGGAUGAACCCAAGUCCCCAGCCCCAUAGAAAGCCACUAUCCAGAGGAUGGGAGGGUUGUCCCCUUGGGCCAGAUGGGGGAUGGAGGCCUAGAGAGGAGAAAAACUUAUCUAAGUGGAUGCACAAAUCGAGGCAGAGGGAAGACUGGAACUCAGGGCUCCAGUCUCUGUCUGGUGUUGGCCCCACGGGACCAGGUGCCGCCCAGAUUCCCUGGGAGGCCUCAGAAAGCCUGAGGAGGAAGCAGAGAAACAAGAAGGGAGCUGCUAGUGCCUGGCUGCCCCCCUCGCCAUGAGACCUCAGGCUGGGCCGUGCCCUCUCUGAAGGUCCAUUGCUCAUCUCAUUUGCUGGAGAUGCUGUGAAAGGAGAAGGAGAUGAGGAGGCGGAGGAGCGGGCCCCCUUCAAGGCAGGCUGUUUCUCCUCCAGGCCUCUUCUGGGCACCGUGGCUCAGAACUUAGGUUCCUGAAGCCCUCUCACCCCCUCUGUUAUUUUCUAACAGUCUCAGACGUACACAGCAAAGUCGCAAGAACAGUAUGGAAAACUGUUUUGCCCUUGACCAUCGGAGAGUAAGUUGCUGCCAGGGUGACCCAGUUUCCUGGAUAUUUUAGUGUCUGUUUCCUACCACGAGGGACAUUCUCUCCCACAAACACAAUCCCUGACGUUGACACAUCUCUAGGGCAAUCCUCAAGCUCCAUCGAGGGCCGAGCGUUGGCCCGGGAACGGCCUUGCACUGAGCUGUCCCGUCCCUCUAGUCGCCUUCAGCCUGGAACGGUUCAAGUUGGGCAUCUUUAGCCGAGCUCUCACAGAAGUGACGCUGGGUUCUAGCUGCAUCCCAUGGGUGUCCCUCGCUCUGGAUUUGCUGCAGGGCUGAUGAAGUCUCCCGGAUCCCUGACGGGGGUCCCCCUGCAGCCUCAAGUGACUCCUCUCCUCUUUGUAAUGAAAAAGCAUUUUGCCAGGAGAUACCCUGAGACGAUGGGAAUAGCUCGUUCCUCAUCAAAGUUUUAAUUCAUUUGUUCACGCCAGUAUGGACUUAUGGUUUUCUGUUUUAUUUAGUGGGUGAUGACAUGUUACUAUCAUC
rnacentral:lncRNA from 1 species